rnacentral:snRNA from 1 species
ACUGAUUGUGGUCAGCUUUCUUAGA